rnacentral:lncRNA from 1 species
GCUUGUUUAGGAAGAGAUCGCCAGCUUCCAUGGCCGUUUUUGUUGAUGUAAUCGACGAGAAUGUCGUCUUCUUCCUGGGCCCAGGGACCUCGUUUCAGUCCGGUCUUCUCGCAGCAGGGUGCUCUCACCAUUUGUCUUCUAUCUUCUGAAUCAGAAAUUAACCCUAGAAAGAAUUGAAGUAUAAUAAUCAAAGUUUAGAGCAAUAAUAAAGAGGGAGGGAGGGAGAGAGAAAUGAAGUGUGAAAGGACUUGUCAGUUGAAAUUGCGUACCGGAGGGAGAUCGGCGAAUUGCAAGCUGGAGGGAGUGUAGUAUAGUCUACAUGCAUUUAUUGUUUCACUCAAAUAUAACGAUUGAUGUAUCCAACGAUGGAUUGCUUUUGGGGAAGACUCUUUUUUAUAACAAACAUGUAUUUUUUAGAUCAAGUGAAGGUGUAAAGCGAGAAACUGGUGGGCAAUGAAUCUUGAGUCAAACGGGUUUAUCCGGUAAUUUCAUCAUCGUGUCUACUGACGAGUGGGUUAACGGAGAUUUCCCCGGGAUUGGUGGUGGACUCAGGUUACUCUCGGAGUACUUUGUUUGUUCUCGCGGGUGCCCCGAAAGUGCUCGGGAUUGAUUCUGUUGGUCGUUCAAAAUAUUUGGUAAAACCAACAUAGGGUAGUAGUCACCGAGCGGUAACUUCGUUGUUGGUUUUGCGGGUAGGGUGGGCAGGUAGGGUUUGCAAGUUGUAGUGCAUGAGGGUAGGUACUAGCGGGCAAUGGUGGAUGUAAGAAUUUUGUCUAGUGGGUUCUUUUGUGGGUUUAUGUGA